rnacentral:snoRNA from 1 species
CAGUCACUUCAAAGCGGGCUUGUGGGGCUGGGAAACCAGGAGCAAUUAACACUGUGACCAAAGUUUGAUGCCAUAGGCAUCCUGUGCAGUGAAUAAAUGUCUUAAAGUUGAAAAAAA